rnacentral:rRNA from 1 species
ACAUGCAGAGAACUUCCAGAGAUGGAUUGGUGGCCUUCGGGAACUCUGACACAGGUGCUGCAUGGCUGUCGUCAGCUCGUGCCGUGAGAUAGUUGGGUUAAGUCCCGUAACGAGCGCAACCCUUGUCCUUAGUUACCAGCACGUUAUGGUGGGCACUCUAAGGAGACUGCCGGUGACAAACCGGAGGAAGGUGGGGAUGACGUCAAGUCAUCAUGGCCCUUACGGCCUGGGCUACACACGUGCUACAAUGGUCGGUACAAAGGGUUGCCAAGCCGCGAGGUGGAGCUAAUCCCAUAAAACCGAUCGUAGUCCGGAUCGCAGUCUGCAACUCGACUGCGUGAAGUCGGAAUCGCUAGUAAUCGUGAAUCAGAAUGUCACGGUGAAUACGUUCCCGGGCCUU